AUAACCUACCAUUCUCUCUUUUACGGCGGGGGAACACAUCCCCGACACUAUUUUAUAUAAAAAACACUCGGAUUGCCUGAUAGCGACUACUAGCUGUGAGAUAUGUGAGCGGGCUAAUUCCAAGCCACAUAUCGUCACUUCUUGUUUGUUGCUGCCGCGCUGUUUGAGUUAGAGCUCCGUCGAGUUGAUUCCUAAUUGCUUGUUUUUUUUUUUUUUUUUUUCUUAAAAUCUAAUUUAUAACCUACCAUUCUCUCUUUUGCGGCGGGGGAACACAUCCCCGACACUAUUUUAUAUAAAAAACACUCGGAUUGCCUUGAUAUCGCUAGUUUUAUCCGACUUCUCGAACAUUCGCUACUAGCUUUAGCCCGUUAGCAAUAGCGGCGUGGUCACACUAGCGUUUGUACUCUUCUCACUCACAAUAUUAUUGUUCAUCUAUACUAAUGGCGGGCGUACCGAAUGUGUCUCUAUCUUUGAGUGCAGGUGAGGACACGUUCGAGCUGCAUGCGGUGCAGUUGGAGCUGGAGGCCGUGGAACGACAGAUCCGGACCCUUCUGGAGAAACAGGCCGAGCUACGGGAGCGGCGAACAGCGCUGGAAACAUCCCGUGCUGACGCUCACCAAUCCUCGGGCCCGAGAACCCAGAACGCGUUCAUCCCAGCCCUCGUUCACUCCGGCGCCGUCACACCAGGGACCUUGGGUUCUUCAGCAACGGAAGGCGCGAGCCAGGCCUCGGACCAGGACCUCUCCCCCUCCGCCGCCCCCGGUCUUCGAGGUCUCGACGAGGAACCGCUUCUCCCCUCUUCGCGAGGCAGAACGAGACGCCGUGGUCAUCGGAGACUCCAUCGUCCGUCACGUCCACGCUACCACAACCAAAGGUAAGGUGCGCAGUCACUGUUUUCCUGGUGCUCGUGUCCUCGAUGUCUCUGCGCAGGUUCCCGCGAUCCUGAAUGGCGCUGAGAGCAUCGGAGCUGUUGUUCUGCACGUGGGGGUGAACGACACCAGGCUGCGGCAGACGGAGGUGCUGAAGCAGGACUUCAGGAGCCUGAUCGAGACGGUACGAGCCACAUCGCCCGCGACGAGGAUCAUCGUGUCCGGACCGCUUCCGACGUACCGACGUGGACAUGAAAGGUUCAGUAGAUUAUUUGCUUUAAAUGAAUGGUUAAUGUCUUGGUGUACUGAACAGAAGCUGCUCUUUAUAAAUAAUUGGAAUCUUUUCUGGGAGCGACCUAGGCUCUUCCGUGCUGAUGGCCUGCACCCCAGCAAAAUCGGAGCUGAUCUUCUGUCGGAGAACAUCUCCAAGACGCUUCGCACCGUAUGACUAAGAGUACAUCAGUUUCAGUUUGGAUCCAGCCUCUUAAGAAGACCUCAGAUGACUAAAACUUUGGAAGAGACGGCGCCAACUCCUGCGAUGACUUCAGAAGAUGCAACAUCUGGAUCAACACGCACAUUCACAUUCUAUAAAUCCUAAUUAUUGUUAAUAUGUAAUUCAUUUUUCCAGGAGCUCUUUGCUUCUACCUCCAAUUACAUUGCUAACAGUGAUUGUAUGUUAAUCGCCUAAAUUAUUACAUUAUUAGCUAACUGCAGUCUCCAAAUUGUAAUGUUGAUAUGCUUUCUCUGUAAAGCUGCUUUGAAACGAUAUGUAUCGUGAAAAGCGCUAUACAAAUAAAUGUGAAUU